rnacentral:rRNA from 1 species
CAGUAGCCGCGGGAAUACGUAGGGUGCGAGCGUUAAUCGGAAUUACUGGGCGUAAAGCGUGCGCAGGCGGUUAUAUAAGACAGAUGUGAAAUCCCCGGGCUCAACCUGGGACCUGCAUUUGUGACUGUAUAGCUAGAGUACGGUAGAGGGGGAUGGAAUUCCGCGUGUAGCAGUGAAAUGCGUAGAUAUGCGGAGGAACACCGAUGGCGAAGGCAAUCCCCUGGACCUGUACUGACGCUCAUGCACGAAAGCGUGGGGAGCAAACAGGAUUAGAUACCCGUGUAGUCCCUGUCUCUUAUAC